GGGUGUUAAAUGAAAAGGAAUGCGCGCUAUUCUUUUAAUUACGGUAGUGAACCGAAAUAUUCAAGACCCACGCCUCACGACAUUGGCCGUUCGAUAGCCAAUGGGCUCUCAGCAUCCCUUUCACCGCCGCUUUCGAGGAGACAGUCUACUUUUCGCAUUCCCGUGUCCAUCCAGCUAUUACGAUUGACUGACAGAUAACAAGCUAAAUGCCACGCUAUAUGUGAACUAAGCAAGCUAGCUAACGAAUUAGAUAUGGUUACGAGUAGAAUUGCUUAUUUUCAGCUACAGAAAAUAGAGCUAAAGUAGCAUCAUUGAAGUUGGUAUGCUGCGUUGCACUUCAUGGAAUCAAUAAAAAGUUGGCGAGUUUGACAGACUACCGCUGGAAGAAAGUGAAGACAACUAACGUUACUCAGUAAGGACCAACUAGCCGCCUGGCUCAGAACCACUCCUGCCUGACCCAGUCCACUCCUGCUUCUUGCCCCUCACUGUGCUGGGUAACACAGGGUCACAAACCAUAACAGGCUGGUAAAGUAAGUGAAAAAGGUUGUCAGUGAGUUUCAAGAUAGUAGGUAGCCGGCUAUGCAGCUUCAAAGACAAGAAUAGACACACAAAAAGGGCAUCCCCUUUCUUAUCUAGGCGCCCUUCAGAGAAUACCAGAGUAUCCAUCAUCUGCACAUCUAUCACUCUAGUAUUAAUGCUAAAUUGUAAUUAUUUCACCUCUGGCUUAUUUAUUGCCUUACCUCCUUACUCUUCUACAUUUCACACACUGUACAUAGAUUUUUCAAUUUUUCUUUUCUAUUGACUGUACGUUUGUUUAUGUGUAAUUCUGUGUUGUUGUUUUUGUCGCAAUGCUUUGCUUUAUCUUGGCCAGGUUGCAGUUGUAAAUGAGGAGUUGUUCUCAACUGGCCUACCUGGUUAAAUAAAGGUGGUAUCUACAUAUAUAUACUUUUUUUUAUACCGUACACUACUACUGUAUCUCAUUGGAUUAGUCUGUGUAUCUAAUCCCACAGGCCCGUCACCAGGUAUCAUCUCUCUAGCGUAUGAACAGGACCUGAUCAUUGCAACUCUAACGCAUCAUCUGUGACCCGAUUGGACAGGACAGUCCUCGGGCUCAGGUUACCAUAAAGUAAAUACUUUAAAUGGGGAAAGGAGGACAGCGCAGUCGCCCCAGCCCUGUUAAAGUCUCGGUGUCUGUCUCUGACUUGAGGACGGCGCUCAGUGUUCCACUGACCUCCGUGAUGCUGAGUCGGGUCCUUGACCUCUCCAGCUUGACAACAGUGAUUAACAGUGAUUGUGUCGCACUGGCUUCACAAAGCUCCUGUGGCCUCCAGUGAAAUCUCCUUCACCUGAGAAAGUGAUAGAAGGAAAAGAGGUGGUUAGUUUAGCUACUGUCAAUGCUCAACGGUAUACUAUUGUGUCAACAGCUAUUCCAUACCAUUGAUGCUGUCUAGAAUUGGCAAGGAUGUAAGUGUUGUUCCCCAGCCCAGAGUUGAGGAUGCUGUCCCAUCCACUGACCUCCACUAUGUUGCCUCUGGUCCUGACCUGCUCUGUGAUGUUGUCCCCCGGGUCCCUGGCUGCACCG